AAAGCUGAAACCCGCUGGGGCCUGGCAGAGGGGAAGUUUGCAGUUAACUCUGUUCUUGGAAGAGUUUUAACGCUGUUCUAUUCUUUGUAGAAGGCCCUUCCCGAAGGAAGUCUGAGGCUUUUGAGGACGAUUUGCCAGGGCAGGCCCUUUAAUGGAGCGAGAUGUGUGGCCCCAGCCUCAGCUCCUCAUGCUUCCAAGAGCAACACUGAGAGGUGUGGACCAGUGGGAGUGAGUGGCAGGCCCUCCCGCAGCUGUUGGGCACCUGAGCCCCCCACAAGCCCAUUCCUGAUCCUUCUCUCAUCUCAAAAUCGGGCCUGAUGGCACCUGUAUCACAUCUUGGAAGCACCAGAGACAAGAAUCACAGAGAAAGCUUAUGGCUGCACCCUGCUGCUCUGCCAAGCACCGGGCCCGAGCCAUGGCCGCAUGAAUACGCUCAUUUGAGAGGAAGAAGAGAUUAUUCAGGCUGCCUGGAGAAGGGCCCUCAGCUUGACUUUGAAGGCUAAAGUGGUAACUGGAGUUCAGAAUGACCGGUGGACCAGGAGGCACUCUUUGGGUGUAUGAAAAACCAUCUGUGUGUUUUUUGGUUUUGUGCCCACCCGCCUGUACAUAGCAAAGCCUUCAAAACAUAAAUUGGAAAUGAUUGUCGUUCACGAGCAAGAGCCGAGUGUUUACUUUUCGAGCAACUGCUUGGAGAAACAAUGGCUUUUUGUUUCCAAAAAUCAUAUAUUGCUAAUAUCAAAGAGCCUUGUGAAAGGCGUCUUCAAUAGCACGUGAAAAAUGAAAGUAUCGCUCUAGAUCGGAACCUGGAAAAGAGGUCUUUUCUGUUCUCUAAGCGUCACACUGUGCGGUAGCAUUUGUGAAGAUGGCCUCGAAGUUAAAUGUUCUUGGAUACUGGCAGGUGACACGGCAAAAAUCAAACGCAUUGUUUUGUGACAAGGUUUGAGGACCGGAAUUUAGCAAAGCACCGGGUAUGGGAGACGGCUGAAUUAAUACUGUUGACAUCGUGGUUCUAAAGAUGGAUAAGGAAGG
rnacentral:lncRNA from 1 species